rfam:Populus trichocarpa scaffold_15_contig_42, whole genome shotgun sequence.
UCUAGAACUCAAGAAAUAGGCUGAACACCGAACAGUGUCUGGGCUGCAGAACAUAUUCAAACUUCUCUUUUGUUGCUAAGAUUUGAACUUGAAAACUACAACUUUGAAUCUUGGACUCCUCCUGAAUGUUUUAGGCCUGUGUCUUAGCUUUACAUC